GCCUCCAGCUGCAACACUAGCCCUGGCUAUUGUCUGAGAUGCUGAUAUAAAGAUGGGGGGCAAUUCUUUUUCCUAGCUCAGUUCCCAAGAAGCUCCUGACUUAGCACGAUCUUGAUGAAGAGAUGAAAUACUUGAUGAAGUUGGCAUGCCAUAAUUGCCAGGUGCCAGGGACGAGGAAAACAUUCCCCCCACACCUCCUCUUUAUUACAGAGUAUCAAGUGAAAUCCUCUUUUCUUAAAGAAACACUAAUCAGCCAAUAGAACAAGAUUACUGCUGCAAAGAGAAUGGAAGUCAUCUGAAAACUUUAAAGAAGGACACACACAGCUGUAUAAGAAAAAGAUUUUUCUAGGCUGAGCGCAAAGGCACUGCCCAAGAGAAAAACAUCUAACUAGACUGAGAUGAGAGAAUGUCAAGGAAAGAAGUGACAUCCGGUUUUCUACAGAGAAAACACUUGUAAGGUGCUCCAUAAGCUUUCAAAAAAACUGAAAACCCGAAGGGGCAGAGGAAUGGAUUAUGCUGAUGAUGACAGGCGGCCAAAAAAGAACUGCAGGAACACCUUGCCUGAAUCAAGAACAGUUGUAUCCUUUGUGCCAAUCGAAACCCAGCAGUUCAUCCUGAGCCAAGGUCACAGCCAUUUAGU